rnacentral:rRNA from 1 species
CGGAGGGAGCUAGCGUUGUUCGGAAUUACUGGGCGUAAAGCGCACGUAGGCGGCGAUUCAAGUCAGAGGUGAAAGCCCGGGGCUCAACCCCGGAACUGCCUUUGAAACUAGAUUGCUAGAAUCCUGGAGAGGUUAGUGGAAUUCCGAGUGUAGAGGUGAAAUUCGUAGAUAUUCGGAAGAACACCAGUGGCGAAGGCGACUAACUGGACAGGUAUUGACGCUGAGGUGCGAAAGCGUGGGGAGCAAACAGGAUU